GGGGCAUUAGCGCAGUUGGGAGCGCAUCACACUGGCAGUGUGGGGGUCAGUGGUUCGAAUCCCCUAUGCUCCACCA
rnacentral:tRNA from 1 species